rnacentral:rRNA from 1 species
GACGAACGCUGGCGGCGUGCCUAAUACAUGCAAGUCGAGCGGAGAGAAGAAGCUUGCUUCUUCUCUUAGCGGCGGACGGGUGAGUAACACGUGGGCAACCUACCUUGUAGAUUGGGAUAACUCCGGGAAACCGGGGCUAAUACCGAAUAAUCCAUUUCGCUUCAUGGCGAGAUGUUAAAAGACGGUUUCGGCUGUCACUACGAGAUGGGCCCGCGGCGUAUUAGCUAGUUGGUAGGGUAACGGCCUACCAAGGCGACGAUACGUAGCCGACCUGAGAGGGUGAUCGGCCACACUGGGACUGAGACACGACCCAGACUCCUACGGGUGGCAGU